UUGACGGUGACCGGCCAGACCGCAUCGGCGUCUGUCAGCAUGGCGUCGCCGAAGAAAUCGCCGCCGCCCAGCAUGCCGAGCCUGGUCUGUUCGCCGAAUUCACCGACACCGAGCCUGCUCAGCUUGCCGUGCACGACCAGCACGACCCGAUCCAUCGGGUUACCGAAUUCGGCCACCACCACGCCGGGAUCGAGAUCAUGCUGCUCGAAGCGUUGCGCCAGCGCGCUCAGUAUCUCCUCGUCGUCGAAGCCCCGCAAUUGCGAAAGUUCGGUGAGCUCCCACGGAAUCACCCUGGCUCGGGACCCGUCGACGACGAAUUCCACCUCACCAUUGCCCAGCGUGUGGGUCAGUCGGCGGUUGACCCGGUAGAUACCGCCGUCGACCUGCACCCACGGCAGCAUGCGGGUCAGCCAUCGGGAGGUGAUGCCCUGCAUCUGCGGUUCGGACUUGGUGGUGUGCGCCAAUUGAUGCGCGGCACCGGUACUGAGGCUCUUGCGGGCCUGAUUG
rnacentral:antisense_RNA from 1 species